rnacentral:rRNA from 1 species
CGCGGCCUAUCAGCUUGUUGGUGGGGUGAUGGCCUACCAAGGCAGUGACGGGUAGCCGGCCUGAGAGGGCGACCGGCCACACUGGGACUGAGACACGGCCCAGACUCCUACGGGAGGCAGCAGUGGGGAAUAUUGCGCAAUGGGCGGAAGCCUGACGCAGCGACGCCGCGUGAGGGAUGACGGUCUUCGGAUUGUAAACCUCUUUCACCCACGACGAAGCGAAAGUGACGGUAGUGGGAGAAGAAGCACCGGCCAACUACGUGCCAGCAGCCGCGGUAAUACGUAGGGUGCAAGCGUUGUCCGGAAUUAUUGGGCGUAAAGAGCUCGUAGGCGGCUUGUCACGUCGACUGUGAAAACCCGGGGCUCAACUCCGGGCCUGCAGUCGAUACGGGCUGGCUUGAGUGCGGUAGGGGAGACUGGGAUUCCUGGUGUAGCGGUGAAAUGCGCAGAUAUCAGGAGGAACACCGGUGGCGAAGGCGGGUCUCUGGGCCGUAACUGACGCUGAGGAGCGAAAGCGUGGGGAGCGAACAGGAUUAGAUACCCUGGUAGUCCACGCCGUAAACGUUGGGCGCUAGGUGUGGGGACCUAUCCACGGUCUCCGUGCCGCAGCUAACGCAUUAAGCGCCCCGCCUGGGGAGUACG